rnacentral:rRNA from 1 species
GCAUGCCUACAGCAUAGCAUUAAUGCAUUGGAUCCCAUUAGAACUUUGUAGUUAAGCACGCUCAGGCUAGAGUAGUACUAGGAUGGGUGAUCACUCGGGAAGUCCUAAUGUUUUACAUGCC